GGGUGCGAUCAUACCAGCACUAAUGUACCUUAUCCCAUCAGAACUCCGCAGCUAAGAGUGCAUGGGCGAGAGUAGUACUACGUUUGCUGAACUCCUGCGAAGUCCUUGUGAUGCACCCC
rfam:Gossypium hirsutum cultivar TM-1 chromosome 14, whole genome shotgun sequence